GAUGAACGCUGGCGGCGUGCCUAAUACAUGCAAGUCGAGCGAACAGACGAGGAGCUUGCUCCUCUGACGUUAGCGGCGGACGGGUGAGUAACACGUGGAUAACCUACCUAUAAGACUGGGAUAACUUCGGGAAACCGGAGCUAAUACCGGAUAAUAUAUUGAACCGCAUGGUUCAAUAGUGAAAGACGGUUUUGCUGUCACUUAUAGAUGGAUCCGCGCCGCAUUAGCUAGUUGGUAAGGUAACGGCUUACCAAGGCGACGAUGCGUAGCCGACCUGAGAGGAUGAUCGGCCACACUGGAACUGAGACACGGCCCAGACUCCUACGGGAGGCAGCAGUAGGGAAUCUUCCGCAAUGGGCGAAAGCCUGACGGAGCAACGCCGCGUGAGUGAUGAAGGUCUUCGGAUCGUAAAACUCUGUUAUUAGGGAAGAACAAAUGUGUAAGUAACUAUGCACGUCUUGACGGUACCUAAUCAGAAAGCCACGGCUAACUACGUG
rnacentral:rRNA from 1 species